rnacentral:rRNA from 1 species
UACGAAGGGGGCUAGCGUUGCUCGGAAUUACUGGGCGUAAAGCGCACGUAGGCGGCUUUCUAAGUCGGGGGUGAAAUCCUGGAGCUCAACUCCAGAACUGCCUUCGAUACUGGAGAGCUCGAGUCCGGGAGAGGUGAGUGGAACUGCGAGUGUAGAGGUGAAAUUCGUAGAUAUUCGGAAGAACACCAGUGGCGAAGGCGGCUCACUGGCCCGGUACUGACGCUGAGGUGCGAAAGCGUGGGUAGCAAACAGG